rnacentral:lncRNA from 1 species
CCAAGUAUGUAUCUAAGCCAGCCUGUUAUAUUAUCUACCUAUACAUAAAUUAAGAAUCUAGUACCAUACCUAUUUGUUUAAGUCUAGUUUGUCAAACAAAUAUCAUUUUCUAAUAUGCAUAAUACCACUCGGCGUUAUUAAAACACUAUAUGUCAACUUCUAACACAUCACCCUCCCCAUAAGAUAAUCUCCAGCCCCUCCUUGAGCCAAUCAUAUCUAACUUUAAAAGUCAAAAAUGCCGACACAAA